CCCCUAAGGCGAGGCCGAAAGGCGUAGUCGAUGGGAAACAGGUUAAUAUUCCUGUACUUGGUGUUACUGCGAAGGGGGGACGGAGAAGGCUAUGUCAGCCGGGCGACGGUUGUCCCGGUUUAAGCAUGUAGGCGGAGGUUCCAGGUAAAUCCGGUACCUUUUUAACGCUGAGGUGUGAUGACGAGGCACUACGGUGCUGAAGUAAUAAAUGCCCUGCUUCCAGGAAAAGCCUCUAAGCAUCAGGUAACAUGAAAUCGUACCCCAAACCGACACAGGUGGUUAGGUAGAGAAUACCAAGGCGCUUGAGAGAACUCGGGUGAAGGAACUAGGCAAAAUGGCACCGUAACUUCGGGAGAAGGUGCGCCGGCGAAGGUGAAGGGCUUGCCCCGUAAGCUUUUGCUGGUCGAAGAUACCAGGCCGCUGCGACUGUUUAUUAAAAACACAGCACUCUGCAAACACGAAAGUGGACGUAUAGGGUGUGACGCCUGCCCGGUGCCGGAAGGUUAAUUGAUG
rnacentral:rRNA from 1 species